rnacentral:rRNA from 1 species
GUGGGGAAUAUUGGACAAUGGGGGGAACCCUGAUCCAGCCAUGCCGCGUGGAGGAAGACUGCCCUCUGGGUUGUAAACUCCUUUUAUAUGGGAAGAACCGUCCUCAUUAAUGAGUGACCUGACGGUACCAUAGGAAUAAGCACCGGCUAACUCCGUGCCAGCAGCCGCGGUAAUACGGAGGGUGCAAGCGUUAUCCGGAUUCACUGGGUUUAAAGGGUGCGUAGGCGGAUAAAUAAGUCAGUGGUGAAAUCAACGGGCUCAACCUGUUAACUGCCAUUGAUACUGUGUAUCUUGAAUAUGAGAGAGGUAGGCGGAAUGUUGCAUGUAGCGGUGAAAUGCUUAGAUAUGCUACGGAACACCGAUUGCGAAGGCAGCUUACUAUUUCGUAAUUGACGCUGAGGCACGAAAGCGUGGGUAGCGAACAGGAUUAGAAACCCCUGUAGUCC